rnacentral:rRNA from 1 species
AUUGAACGCUGGCGGCAGGCCUAACACAUGCAAGUCGAGCGGAGCGGGGGACGGGUGCGUAAUACCUAGGAAUCUGCCUGGUAGUGGGGGAUAACGUAAGGUAACGGGCGCUAAUACCGCAUACUCUCAGAUGAGCCUAGGUCGGAUUAGCUAGUUGGUGGGGUAAAGGCCUACCAAGGCGACGAUCCGUAACUGGUCUGAGAGGAUGAUGAGUCACACUGGAACUGAGAAACGGUCCAGACUCCUACGGGAGGCAGCAGUGGGGAAUAUUGGACAAUGGGCGAAAGCCUGAUCCAGCCAUGCCGCGUGUGUGAAGAAGGUCUGCGGAUUGUAAAGCACUUUAAGUUGGGAGGCGUUACCAACAGAAGAAGCACCGGCUAACUUCGUGCCAGCAGCCGCGGUAAUAC